rnacentral:rRNA from 1 species
UGGGGAAUAUUGCACAAUGGGGGGAACCCUGAUGCAGCGACGCCGCGUGAAGGAAGAAGUAUCUCGGUAUGUAAACUUCUAUCAGCAGGGAAGAAAGAGGACGGUACCUGACUAAGAAGCCCCGGCUAACUACGUGCCAGCAGCCGCGGUAAUACGUAGGGGGCGAGCGUUAUCCGGAUUUACUGGGUGUAAAGGGAGCGUAGACGGCCAUGCAAGCUCGGUGUGAAAGGUGCGGGCACAACCCGCAGACUGCACUGAGAACUGUAUGGCUGGAGUGCCGGAGGGGCAGGCGGAAUUCCUGGUGUAGCGGUGAAAUGCGUAGAUAUCAGGAGGAACACCGGUGGCGAAGGCGGCCUGCUGGACGGCGACUGACGUUGAGGCUCGAAAGCGUGGGGAGCGAACAGG